rnacentral:rRNA from 1 species
GUGCCAGCCGCCGCGGUAAAACGUAGGAGCCUAGCGUUAUCCGAAUUCACUGGGCGUAAAGCGCGUGCAGGCGGCUUGGUAAGUUGGAUGUGAAAUCUCUCGGCUCAACUGGGAGAGGACGUUCAAUACUGCCAGGCUAGAGGGCGGAAGAGGGAGGUGGAAUUCCCGGUGUAGUGGUGAAAUGCGUAGAUAUCGGGAGGAACACCAGUGGCGAAGGCGGCCUCCUAGGCCGCUCCUGACGCUCAGACGCGAAAGCUAGGGGAGCGAACGGGAUUAGAUACCCCAGUAGUCC